CGGCGGACGGGUGAGUAACACGUGGAUAACCUACCUAUAAGACUGGGAUAACUUCGGGAAACCGGAGCUAAUACCGGAUAAUAUAUUGAACCGCAUGGUUCAAUAGUGAAAGACGGUUUUGCUGUCACUUAUAGAUGGAUCCGCGCCGCAUUAGCUAGUUGGUAAGGUAACGGCUUACCAAGGCAACGAUGCGUAGCCGACCUGAGAGGGUGAUCGGCCACGCUGGAACUGAGACACGGUCCAG
rnacentral:rRNA from 1 species